GUUGUGGGGCAGGAACUGAAGAGGGGACACCCACCCCCUUGCCAAGUGUGCAGAAAGAUGCUCUUUUAUGGAUGAGGAGUGAGGCAGAGUAGGGGAGAGCCACCUCACCUCCUUUGCACCUGGAAACCCCUGCAAAGCUCAGCUUGCCUUCUGUGCCGUUUUUUAAAUCCCUCCCCUUCUUUGCAAGGAAGGAACUUCUCAAGCUGAACUGUGAGAGGGUUUGCUGCUGCUGCUGCUGCUGCCGCUGCUGCCGCUACCGGCUUCCAGGGAACAGAAUGCAGAAGGCGAGAGAGAGAUGUGCAGGGAGUUUUUUUUUCCUGUGGCAAAGUCAAGAGGAGCAUCAGAGCACCGGUGAAAGGGGGGAAGAAGAGAGAGAAAGAGAUCUUGGCAGGCUGCGGGGCACCAUCCCAAAGGCCCAUGAUGACCCCCCCACCGGAAAGGAUGGGAAAUCACCUCCAGGACUGGAUCUUGCUGGGUUCCCCUGCGUGGCACAAGGCAGGAGAUGAAGCUGCCUGCUCCCUCUUUUGCUCCCUCCUGAGCCUACAUACUUCUUCAUAUGCCCAUAUGGAGUCGGCUGGCAUUAUGGAAUGUUAAGAAGUAUGUAUCAUUGGGAUGGGAUCCCUGCCUGGAAUGACCUCUCCUCAUCGGCUCUCGGCCUGCAAUUUCCCGGAAGCAGCAAACAACUCUGAAUACGCCACACAGAGCAGCUGCUAGAGAAGGGAAGGGAGUGAGUGCUUGCCUGUAUGCUUUUGUGCCCCUGGUGCUGGUAAAAAGGAACCAGAUCGACUGGCAAAUGGAUUUGGUCCCCUUCAACCAGCUGUAGUGGUGCAUGCAACCUCUGGAACGCCUGUCUGUAUUUAACCGUGACCCUAAGAACAUAUCUUUGUAUGCCACCAUCCCAUGAAGGGCAGAAAAAUGGCAGAGUUUGGGCUGCAGAAUCAAAGUUUCCAUUAUAUUCUCUCUCUCUCUCUCUCUCUCUCUCCCGCUUCCUCAUUCCUUUCAUUUCCAGCAACAUGUUGUAAACAUAGCUUGGAAAUAGUUUGGCAACAUUUGCUGAAAUUUCAAAAGCCAGGAAACAGUUGUGGAAGGUGUUCAGAUAUUUAUGUGUAUUUAAAGAAUUUUUAUCCACAAAAUGAGCCAAGUAAAUUAAUGAAUCCCAAGUAUCAAUACAGACAAGAUGGUUCUUUCCCAUAGACUGAAGGGUAGUCCACACUUCUGCUUCCCCUGUGCCUAGAAAGCACAGGUCUGAACAGUUUUGCUUUUGUCCGCCUCCUUUCCCCUGGAAAACCUGUUCUUUAGUGCUAAAUUUGAAACAAACAUCAAUCUGGAGAAAACCCAAUUGAUGUUUGCACCAAUACAGCGGGUUAUGCCGGGAGAAAGUGAUGGGGUAAGUGGAAGUGUGGAUGAGCCCUGGCAGUCUAAAAGAUAUGGCACAAAAGGAAAAAAAAUGGGGAGGGAGGAAAUCUAGUCAAGAGGCAGGGGUUUCAGUAACCUGUAGAACUCUUUGCCCCUCCUGGGACUGGCAGAAGCAGAACAAAUUGUGCAAAACAGUAAAAAUUCUAAAUAAAUGGUUCAACACGUGUCCUGCUGGACAAGGCCAAAGGUCCAUCUAGUUCAGCGUUUCCAGUGGUGGCCAAUAGAGCACAGAAACAGCAAACACCCCCCCCAUCCCUGGCCACGGUUUCCAUUUCAGCAGCAUAAUUAACUUGUGGAACUUAACUAACACAUGAUAUGAAGUGACCAGUGGCAAUAGGGAGUGGGGAUUCCUGUACUAUUCACAUUUGUACUGUAUAUGAAGAGGGAAUGUUGAAGGGGUAUCUUUUCUCACCCUGCAGGUCUCUGGCAUGACAAAUAGCACUUGCCAAAAUCUUUUUUAUACAAGACCAUCACUGUAUAGCUCUACCCUACAUGGUUGAUCUCUAGAAGGCCCCAUGUCAGUCCCCAGAUAUAAAGGGAUGUUGGGCACCAGAGCUUGGAAAGGCCUUCCUUGUGGGCCUUGGGGAGCUGUUGCUCAUCAGAAGUCGAGAGUGCUGCCCUGAAUGAGCCAGCAGUGUGACUCAGAAUAAGGCACACAGGUGUUCGCAGGUGUCUUCUGCUUCUGGUCACUGGGGAGGCAACCUGGGGGAAUCAAGGUUUUAAUUGCCCCUGAGCCUGGAUACCUCGGGCUCCCCACUGCUGCAUUCUGCAUUUAGGGAGAUGACACUGAAUUCAACCAGGGAUUGCUGGUCGCAUGCUGACUUUAGCAUUAUGGUCUGAGGAGCUGCAGGGUUCACAUUGUGGACUCAGGUGCCAAAGGAUCAAAGGUCUACCAAAAGCAGGCUAGGGGACCCCCCCCACACACAUCCAUACUUAAUUGUGAACCACAGAUCACUCAGUAUAUAUGUGGUUCCCCAUCUCUGCUCCUUCACACCCUGUUUCUGUGAGUUGAUGGCAGUUGGAUUUUUAAUUUGUUUUUUAAUUAAGAGAUCAUAGUUAACCUGAGCUGGCCAUUUCAAUCCUUCAGAAAUUUAAUCCUCAAAGAUGUGAUGGGCUUAUUAGUGGACAUUAAAUCAUAUUUUCUGGCUA